AUUGAACGCUGGCGGCAUGCCUAACACAUGCAAGUCGAACGGGGCAGCAAUGCCUAGUGGCGGACGGGUGAGGAAUACGUAGGAAUCUGCCCUUAAGUGGGGGAUAACCAGGGGAAACCCUGACUAAUACCGCAUGAUCUCUUCGGAGCAAAGAGGGGGACCGCAAGGCCUCUCGCUUCCGGAUGAGCCUACGUCUGAUUAGCUAGUUGGUAGGGUAAAGGCCUACCAAGGCGACGAUCAGUAACUGGUCUGAGAGGAUGAUCAGUCACACCGGAACUGAGACACAGUCCGGACUCCUACGGGAGGCAGCAGUGGGGAAUAUUGGACAAUGGGCGCAAGCCUGAUCCAGCAAUGCCGCGUGUGUGAAGAAGGCCUUCGCGUUGCAAAGCACUUUAGCCUGGAAAGAAAAAACUUUGGUUAACACCCAAAGUCUUGACGGUACCAGGAGAAUAAGCACCGGCUAACUCUGUGCCAGCAGCCGCCGUAAAAC
rnacentral:rRNA from 1 species